rnacentral:rRNA from 1 species
GGAAAGGCGCGCGAUACAGGGUGACAGCCCCGUACACAAAAAUGCACAUGCUGUGAGCUCGAUGAGUAGGGCGGGACACGUGGUAUCCUGUCUGAAUAUGGGGGGACCAUCCUCCAAGGCUAAAUACUCCUGACUGACCGAUAGUGAACCAGUACCGUGAGGGAAAGGCGAAAAGAACCCCGGCGAGGGGAGUGAAAAAGAACCUGAAACCGUGUACGUACAAGCAGUGGGAGCACGCUUAGGCGUGUGACUGCGUACCUUUUGUAUAAUGGGUCAGCGACUUAUAUUCUGUAGCAAGGUUAACCGAAUAGGGGAGCCGAAGGGAAACCGAGUCUUAACUGGGCGUUAAGUUGCAGGGUAUAGACCCGAAACCCGGUGAUCUAGCCAUGGGCAGGUUGAAGGUUGGGUAACACUAACUGGAGGACCGAACCGACUAAUGUUGAAAAAU